rnacentral:rRNA from 1 species
UGCGUAGGCGGUUUUCUAAGUCACGUGUGAAAUCUUCCGGCUCAACCGGAAAACUGCGCGUGAUACUGGAUAACUUGAGUGAGGUAGGGGUGUGUGGAACUUCCGGUGGAGCGGUGAAAUGUGUAGAGAUCGGAAGGAACGCCAGCAGCGAAAGCGGCACACUGGGCCUUUUCUGACGCUGAGGCACGAAAGCUAGGGGAGUGAACGGGAUUAGAUACCCCGGUAAUCCUAGCCGUAAACACUGAACACUGGAGGACGGGGGUUUCGGCCUUCGUUCUCGUAGCGAAAGCGUUAAGUGUUCCGCCUGGGGAGUAUGGUCGCAAGGCUGAA